GUCAGCUUGUGUUGCGUAUGGAUGCACAAAUAGAUUCUCAAAAAAAAUUCCGGGCAUAACUUUUCACACAAGUAGAAUGAGAUGGGAUGAAUUUAUAACUCGAAACUAAGGUAAAAUUAUAUACGUAACCGAGUUAGAUAGAGCUUAAUAAAACAGAUUCUCCUACUUUGCUGCUGCUAAGAAGUCUUGGACAGCAAACUGUUUGAUCAAAUUACAGUUCUUCUUCCCUCAUCUAUUCGUCAUGACGCCAAGUAUACUUUUCACUUGUUUAUUUUACCUCUCCGCAUCACUGUAACAGCUUUUCUAUCUCUAUAAUGCUAUUUUUAAUGUGAGGAAUACCUUGAUUUUGAAAGACAUAUUCAUUUGCUUUAAAGAGCUCUUGUAAUGAUAAAUUCAAGAAUGUUUCUUUCAUACAAGAAAAAAAACCCAAGAAGAUUCAAGUCAUUCAACUUGACGUCAGGUCCAAUGUUCUCAGAAAACUACUCCGCCCCCUUCCAUUUUGCUGAUUUCUUAUUGAGAGGGCAUUCCCUCUGACGUCAAAGAAGCCACGUCUGACGCAUUAGGAUUCCGGCUGGAAGUAGCUGAGCUGACCAGUUCGUAUGCCUACCACGAUCACUGGAAUUGCUUACCACGAACACUGGAAUCUGCCUUGCGAUGUCAAAGAAAAAAGAUGAGGAAAAAACGCUUUAUUAUAGGAAAUCACGUGGACUAAAUGUACCAGAUAUCGUGUAAUUUUGCCUUUUAAUUUAAUCUUUCGGUUUUCUUACUUGUUGAUUUCUGUAAGUGAGUUCUUGUUUUUGGCAGGGAAGUGGUUGAGUUCAUUCUCCAUGAUCAUAAAUUUAAUGUAACGUAACGUCUAACCUUCCUAUUAGAACGAGUUUCUUGAUAUAAA